CCCACACAAGGACUAUCAAUUCUACCACACUGCAAUUGCCGGCAUGCUCAUGUUUAAUCCUCGCCUUGUUCAUUUGUUUAUUCCUUUUUUUUUUUUUUUUUCCCCUCAGUUUGAUGUCCUUGGCUCAAAUGGAACUUUUCCUGAUGUUUCUAAGUGAGUAGAGAGUAGACAUGAUAUUGGCUGUGCAGCAUAACAUACUUAAAAACGUAAUCUAAAUAAAUAAAUAAAUAAGGUGUCUCUGUAUCCCAAAUGCCAGUUCCUCACCCUCUUUUUCCCUGCAGCAUUUCAUUGAAUCACGAUGAACACGGAAAAAAGUUCUAAAUGACCACUUCAGUACAGAAACAAGACAUACAGAAGAGCAGCAAGGACUUCAUAUAAAAUAAUGUUUGGCACAUAAAACGGCUUUGGAGGACGGCAUGGUGGGAAACACGGAGCUCAAUUAAGUCAACUAAAUUAAAGCACCUGCUAUCAAAAGCCUGACAAAUUCCUCCUAAGAAGGAACCAAAGAAAAGCAACGUGGUCAUCUGGAGGUAGUGAUCCACAGGUGUCCUCAGCCUGGCAGGACCUGGUUUCUGUCUCUAGACAUGAAAAAUCACUGACUUUGAAGAAACAACAGAACGGAAAGGCAGAAGGACUUUUAGUUUUCUCUGGGGGAAAAAAAAAAAAAAAAAAAAAAAGUGAGAAAAGUGGGAGUUUGCAGUUUAUUAAACACCAGAGAAUCUACAGCAGCCAGCAGCAUUAUAAACACUUCAAGAUUCAAAAUACUGGAAAAGCUUUACACAGACAUACAACUUCCUGA
rnacentral:lncRNA from 1 species